GACCCACCUCUAUCACUGUCUCUGAUUAGACUGAUGUACAGAAAUAAAAUAAAUAGAAAAAUUGAAGAAGAUCAUCUUAUGAGAAAUCCAACACCUGAUGGGGUUUCGGCCCUUGUGAUGCUGCUUCUUCUUGUUGAUAUGACCAUACAGGAUUUUUACCAGAAUUCGUGUAAGUAUCAACGCCGUUAGAUUUUUGCCCCCCAAA
rnacentral:misc_RNA from 1 species